UGGUUAUUGAGAUAACGUAAGGGAAAAAAUUGAUAGUACCUUACUAUAAGUGUUGUCCAACUUUACUGGUGCCAGAAGACUCGGUAACGCCAGAAACGCAAACGUUAGUCGUCUUAAUCAGGCGUAAAGGGUAAGUAGGCUGCUUUAAAAAUUAUUAAUUAGAAAGCUCUUUUUUAUUAAAGUAAUUAAUAAUGAAUUAAAGCUAGAAUCAAAUAGAGGAUAAGCCAAAUAAUAUUUAGAGUAAGGCUGAUAUCUCCAAAUACUAAAUAGAAUACUAAAGGUGAAAACUUUUAUCUACUAUUGAUUGACGCUGAGGAACGAAGGUGAGAAUAGAAAACAGGAUUAGAGACCCAGGUAUCUCUCACUGUCAACGAUGAAUGGUGGUUGUUAGUUUAUUUUAAACUAGUAACGAUGUUAACGCGAUAACCAUUCCGCCUUGCGAGUACG
rnacentral:rRNA from 1 species